AACGAACGCUGGCGGCAGGCUUAACACAUGCAAGUCGAACGCCCCGCAAGGGGAGUGGCAGACGGGUGAGUAACGCGUGGGAAUCUACCUAGUUCUACGGAACAACAGAGGGAAACUUCUGCUAAUACCGCAUACGCCCUGAGGGGGAAAGUAGGGGAUCUUCGGACCUUACGUUAUAAGAGCGGCCGAUAUCUGAUUAG
rnacentral:rRNA from 1 species